GGUCAAACAGGGAGCGGUAAGUUCCCUUCAGCUGGCUCAUAGCAGAGUCAACUGGGAAGUCUUGACGGCCCAGGUGCACAGGUGUGGCGUGGAACAAUUCCUACUAUAAGAAGCUGCAGACAACCCUCAAAGCCUGUCCAAGAGAGAAAGGAGUAAUGCCUGAAAGUGUUGGCUCAGAGACAAAACCCUGAAUUUAGGCCACAUGGAUGUCGCUUCAUUGUUACUGAAAGACAAAGGCUCGGCUCUCAUCAAACUUCAGCCGGCAGCAGCAACAACAUUCCGCCAGCUAAGCAGUCCCUAUGAGGGCCUCCCCGCUGAGAACCCAAGGCAGCAUCUGGCCCAAGAGUAGCCAGGCAAGCGCAUCAUGUGCCUAGACAUUUCCCCAGAGCUCGACUGAUCAUGAAGCAUACAAAGAACAACAAAAAGCCAACCAAUCUAUACCUCGAAGAAGGCACACUCAAGUAGCAGAGAAGGAAAAGAAGGGGUGACAGUGGCCAGCAAUGCUCAAAGGGAACACAGAGCAGAUGCAGCACUGACUAACUGACUGACUGACUCCAAGGAUGGGUGAAUGGAGAUUAAGUGUUCCGUGCAAAGCAGAGAGGACAUGGUGCGCUGUGAAGGAGACGGGAAACAGAAAGACUGGAGUAUGAAAGAGGAGGACACUAAGAGAAGGUAAUUUUAAAAGAACCAUCAGCAGUAAAAAGGAUUUACAAACAGCUAUAAUGGGCUAGGAUGGAGAUAAUCACCUGACCAUCUACCUACCCCUGGAGGGGGGAUGCUGAGUUAAGGCUGUGGACAUGCCAGCACAGUCAGGAGAUAAUAAGAACUCCCAGAAGAAGUGACAAAUCCUGGGCCUUGACUGAAAGAGUGGAGAAGGACUUACUAACCAGCCUCCGGCUCACCAAGUCCUGAAUGCCGACACUGUCUAUACGCCUAGGGAAUAUUCUAGCAUUCCAAACCAAGAGCAGAAAAGGCUCCCCCUCCACAUCUCCCCUAUUCCUGUGCCACUUCUCCCAGGACUGUUCUCCCAGGCCUUUUCAUCCGCCGCCAUCAGCUGGCAGUCACGGGGCAUGCACCUCUCAACUAAGCCUCACUGUAACUUUCGUGUUAGGCUUCCUCUCCCUGAAUACGCUCACAGAGAGCAAAGAUCCCUCCGUGAGCAUCUUCAGGGAGAGCAUGGGAUGUCUCCCAAAGCGUACACUCAAUCGAUGCUGGCUGGUUGAGGAGUGUUGAUAUAGAGAGAACAUCCCUAAAAAAGAGACACCCAGCUGCCAUCCUCUCCCAGCUCUCAGCACCUUCACCUUUCACUGCACUGGCAUUCACCGAUGCUGGUGAAAUUAAAAACACUCUCCCAUUUCCAAGCCUAAGACAGGGCCGCACUAAAGGGAAGUCACUAAAUAGUGACACUAGCCAUUUAUUUUCAGUAUUAACAUUUUGCUUUGUAACUGAAAACAUCUUCACUAUGGAUGCCCAAGGGCAAUGGGUUACCCACAGACUGAAUCACUCUCCUACCAGCACAGCUAAAACCUAAAGCUUUGCGAGCAUCUGCUUUUCACUGUCAGAGUCAGAGAAUACCAUUAGAUGAGAUAUGGCUUUAGCUGGCUACAGGGUCCAGGCAAUGAUGUGUAGAAAUAUUUAAAUCACCACAAAUAAACACACUAGGUUUUUCUGUGACAGGCUACGGUGACCUAAUGGACUGUUUUUCCAUGCGGGCAUGUUAAUUGUGGUUUCAUUCUAGGCUUACUAUAGAUGAAUACAUGAUGAGGACAGGGGAAGUCAGAUUGCUAACUCUGGCCUAAUCUAUCUCUGCAAAGGCAUAUUCCACAUGACUAGCUUUUAACUCCUAAAAGUAUUUAACUUAAUUAACCAUCACCGGUUAACCAAUAUUUUAACUACGUUCACUCACUGAAAAACUUUCCUAAAACUAAGUUUUCUGCCAUCUGGCAAGGUAGUAUCUACACUCGGGGAAAAAAAAAGUACUUAAAGAUCAGAAAUCAAUGAGACGCAGACCCAAAAGCCAUGUAGCAGGCACACACGGACUCCCUCAGAUUGUCUUCAGUGAGUGAGCGCCCUUUCGGGUUAACAUUUGGAUUUGUGUAUCAUUUGCUUAUGAAACAAAACUCCAUUAAGUAUUUUCAUGGCGAGCUGGGGAGGGAAGACUUUUUAAACGUAAUCACUCAUGUUUGAUUCAUUAGGCUGCCUGGGCACCAGCAGCACAGCUGGGAACGAGCUCAGCCGGAUUCUGUGCCCCCAGCUCUUUGCUACCACAUGACCUUGGAGGAGUCACGAUUUUUCUCUGCUUCAGUUUCCUUUGCAUACGACAAUCCCAAUAACGGGGCUGGAGCUCGAUUGAUUUGUUAGUUUGAUCUCCUAAAUUGAUGGUGAUGAUCAUUUUGGCAGAGAAGUAGAGUGUCGGGGGUGAUAAAUCUUAUCAAGGCGCACUGAGAUUUUUCAGGGCAAAAGUAACCACUGAAACAUACUAAAUGAGUCAGUGUUUCUGCCAAAUCCUUAUGUGAGGGAAGGACUCGGGGAGAGGCUCACAGCUCAAUGGCACUUGCUUUCCUGACUUAAGUGAUUUGGAAAUACAUCAUCCUGAGUGUUCUUUCUCAUGAAAAUCAAGUACAUAUGACUCUCACCCAUUGCAACUUCAGUUCCAGCAGGGGAAAGUUACUGCUAUCCUAUGAAACUGCCUGACGCCUGAGGACAGCCGACAUGCACGCUCUGUGCUGAGAGCAUUGUGGACCGGUACUGGAAUCCACACCACCGAAGGAAUCCCAGCUGAUUGUCUUCUUCCCAGAUUUUUUGAUGGAUUAUGAGAAACUUUGCCGGAAUAGCACAAUUAACAGCAAACCCAAAAGCCGGGAAAUAUCAGUCAAAGAAAACGUAACUACCUGAAUUACAACUGCCUCACGUGUGCACCUCAAGAUUUUUCAUCUGACUGAUGGCCAUUAGAGAGCUCACUCUCCAGGGUAUUUGCAAGGCUCUGAUUUGAUCUGGAGGGAUCUGGAGAGAAGGCAUGCAAGGAAUGGCAACAAUAUUCACAACUCAGCAUUCCCCCAAGGCAGGCGUCUAUACUCACAGCUGCUGCUCCACGAUUUUAACAAGGACUUUAUGCUAAUUUCAAAAAACAGAGAAUCCUGUAGGCUCAACAUUGUGUCUUGGCCGGCUGCAGAGGUAGUGGCAGGGGUGGCAGCCCAGCAGCCGCAGCAGCAGCAGCAGCAACAGCAGCAAUUCUGUGGCUCGCAGCCGCUGUCCUCUCGCAGGCGGCAGAGUUCUGGCCCACAGUCCCUUGGCUUCAUUAUCAUGCAGUCUCGUGGUGACGCACAACUAUAGUGGAAGCGCUGCUCAAUGCAGAUGAGGUACCCAGCUGAAUUAAAGCUUACAAGUUUAUUACAAGUGCCCUGAAGGACGCCCUCACCUUUCUUUAUGCAGACCUGCAUGUGGCCAGCCAGACCUGCCCUGUUUGUAUUCAGAUUGCCAGUUUGAGCAGCUUUUCAGCUCAUCUGUGCUGCCAGUGAACUGACACCUUCUGCUGCUCUCUGCCCUUCGAUGCCAACUUUCCUCGCAGGCAAAGGGCCUCAGAAACACAGGUUCUUAAGCUGAAUUAGAAUCUGGCAAAAGAUCUUUAAAGGUCUUCCUUUAAUAGCUGGUGUCCUCUUUGAAAGGGAGAAAAAAAAAAUCAGCAGCAGUUUCCUCGGGGAUCUGAGCAGUGCAUUCAUUCCACCCUGAUCCAUGCCCAGCUGUGGUUUACUCAGCAUGCUUAUGAUGAGAUAGAGUCCACAGGCCCACUUACCCCACUGGAGAUAAUGCUGCCUAAUGGAAUGAGGGAUGAUGUCAUGGACACUGGCUGAACCUCCACUGGCCUCUGAAACUGCUCAGCUCAGGACAAAGUUGUUUUCUGAUGCAUGCAACUUACUCUAAAGAGAUAACUGCCAGACCUGCUAACAGAUUCUAUGGAAGGAAGUGACCUAAACCCAUACAUUCAGGACACCACUGACAACCAAGGCUCAGCACUGAGACCUCAGCUGAUGAGUUGUACACAGCAUCUAGACAUUCUGCUGUGUUCUCGCUACCCGUCUUGGGCUGAGCUCACCCAAGAUUUAAAAGAAGCUUGCUACCAUUUGACCACAACACCCCGAGGAAGUGGAAUUCACUCCCAGUGAACCUUCAUUACUACACAAGAGUGGUAUAGAAAGUCACUUUGGUGACUUUGGGGAGCAAGGAGUAAGUAAUAGGUGAUUUUCUUAUAACUCUAAAAUUGGACUUUUUUUUUUUUUUUUCAUUUUUAAAUGUGUCUAUACAGCCAUAGCCGGUGGUGCACACCUUUAAUCCCUGCACUCAGGAGGCAGAGGCACGUGGAUCUCUGAGUUCGAGGUCAACCUGGUCUACAAAAUGAGUUCCAGGACACCCAGGGCUACACAGUGAAACUGUCUUGGGAAAAAUAAAUAAAUAAAUAAAACAGAAUUGUCUAUACAGAUAUAUAUAUAAAAAAAGUAAGCCAGAGUGUGAUUUACCUAAACAGGAUGAGAGGACCGGUUUGUGUGUGUGGUGUGUGUGUGAGUGUGUAUGCACACACUUAUUUCAGAAGCUUGCUGUAAAUACAGUGUAGGUAUAAAUGGCGCUUUCCGCUUAUAUCUAGACUAAGCUAGAAUACGGGCAGAGCCUGGUUCUAUCCAAACGUUAUUCUAAAGUACAAAGAACACAAUAAACAGUGUUAUUCUUUCAACUCCUGCUCACAAACACCAUAGCAAUACUUACUUAAUGGAGCAUUUCCUUUCUACAUCUUCCGAUGCUUUUAUUAUCCAAACUACCAAACUACUACCUGGAGAAAACACACACACACACACACACACAGCAAUCCUUUUAGAAGGCCACAGAAGAGUCCCACUGUAACCCAAUUCCUUUCUCAAUCCCGCAAUGACUAGCCCUCUUUUUAAAUUACAAAUAAGGACACUGCCAUUUUUCUUCAAGUAUUUUCUUGUUAAACUGCUAAUUAAUGACAACAACCAAGACAUAGCCUAAAACCUGUCAGUUUUUUAGAUUGCCAGAGAUGCCAGUUUUUCAUUUCAUACUUUACAAAUUCAGAAUCCUCUGACUUACAUACACUCAUGUACAGUUUCAUAUUGUUGCCACAAAGACAGCUACAGAUAUGGUUUCUAGAUGGUGCAGCCUCGGUAAAGCAGACAAGUAUAAUUCAGGACAUUGCUUAGCUAUACUCCUUACAUUUUAGACUGCAAUCAUGCCAGCUUCAGAAAUGUAAGAGAUACAUAGUUUCAAAACAGGUUAUUCCCAUUUGUCUCGAGACCCUUUUGCUGAAGACACCACACACAUUGGUCACAGGACAUGAAGAAAUCAAGUUGGGACUGAUAAAUGGCGAAGACAGUCAUCAACAGUCUUGCCCAGCUUGAAUCCUAUGAACUAUACUAAGGACUGGCCUAACAAGAUAUGCCAAUGGGUGCAGUAGUGGCACAAAUGUUACAGGGGUAAGCCAACCACUCUCUGAUUGGAUUUAAGGCUUUCUCUACAGAAGGAAAUAUGCCUAGUACUGCAACUCUGGCCACAGGGUUGAGGGGCUCACAGGCCACGGAGGAAAAUCUAUUACUCUGCUAAGAAGACGUGCUGUCAAGCUGCCCCCUAAAUUCAUAUCUUUAGACCCAUAGAAAUAGUAUAGCUCUCAAAACUGUCAGUUGCCGGCCACAAACCCGACAUCUAAUCACACCCCUCUCCCAAGGCUCGGGGACCAGUGUGGAAGAUGAGGCAGGAAGACUACGAGAGCUGGAUGUCAAGGAGGGUCAGAACAGAACUAUCUCUGGACAUGACGGAAGCAUGUCACUCAUGAACCUACAGCAGUUCUGGUUCACUAUGAAAGACCUACUCAAGAACAAGACAGUACAUUUCAGCAUUGAUGGGGGAGGGGCGCAGAAGCCACCCCACACACACACCAGCCCCUACCUGAGGAGCUAUCGACAGCUGAUGACUUCUGGGAAAGAAAGUGUCUGGAUUCUUUAAGGUGUGGCCCCUGGUAGACGGACCACACUCUUUAGUAGGUGGCCCCACGCCGGUGAGUGUGGACGGGCAGCACAAACUGAAUUCAGUGGAAUGCCAACAGAACCAACAGAAUAGGGACGCAAAGUUGGGAGGUGGCGGGGAGGAAGAUGUGGGCGGCACGGGGGAGGAGUGUGAAAUGACUAACACUCGCUGUAUGAAAU